rnacentral:rRNA from 1 species
UUACCAGGGCUUGACAUCCCUUGAAGCAGCUAGAGAUAGCUGUGGUCCUUCGGGACAAGGAGACAGGUGGUGCAUGGUUGUCGUCAGCUCGUGUCGUGAGAUGUUGGGUUAAGUCCCGCAACGAGCGCAACCCUUAUUGCUAGUUACCAUCAUUAAGUUGGGGACUCUAGCGAGACUGCCAGUGAUAAACUGGAGGGAAGGUGGGGGAUGACGUCAAAUCAUCAUGCCCCUUAUGACCUGGGCUACAAACGUGAUACAAUGGCUGAAACAAAGGGCAGCGAAGGAGCGAUCUGGAGCGAAACCCAAAAAAGCAGUCUCAGUUCGGAUUGAAGUCUGCAACUCGACUUCAUGAAGUCGGAAUCGCUAGUAAUCGCGGAUCAGAACGCCGCGGUGAAUACGUUCUCGGGGUUU